rnacentral:misc_RNA from 1 species
GCGCGUGAGUGGUGAUUGGCGUGUGUGGGCGUGUUGGAUCCCUGCUCGGGCAGCGACGACAUUGCAUCCGCGCCUCUUCAGUUGUUGGCUCAAGCGCUCGUUGGCCUUGGCCGACGUCGGUUUCCUGUGUUGAAUACCUAUUGCGAAGGCAUUUUGUUGGCUAUGUUGUCCCUUUUCCGCCUCGCACUGCUGCGCCCGUCGGCGUUGUGGUGCGGGGUGGACCUCAAAGCGUGCGCCGUGUUCCACAUCCCGUGCACUUCAAUACGGGUGCUCGGGCUGUCGGCCCACGGCGCACUGCUCGGUCCCUCGGAUGCGGAACACCGAGUGGGUACGAGGCCCUCGGCCUCCAUCUGCCCCGAAAAAAGCGUUCUACGCUU